rnacentral:rRNA from 1 species
GGCGCACUGGUGAGUAACACGUGAGUAAUCUACCUCUUGCUCAGGUAUAAUCCCGCGAAAGCGGGACUAAUCCCUGAUAGUAUUAUAAGGUGCGAUUCCUUAUAAUUAAAGAUUUAUCGGCAAGAGAUGAGCUUGCGUCCUAUCAGCUAGAAGGUGUGGUAAUGGCACACCUUGGCUAUGACGGGUAGCUGGUUCGAGAGGACGAUCAGCCACAAUGGGACUGAAACACGGCCCAUACUCCUACGGGAGGCAGCAGUGAGGAAUCUUGCGCAAUGGGCGAAAGCCUGACGCAGCCAUCCCCCAUGAACGAAGAAGCUCUUCGGAGUGUAAAGUUCAAUAGAUAGGGGAAAAAAUCUUGAUAUUACCUAUCGAUAGUCACGGCUAACUACGUGCCAGCAGCCGCGGUAAUACGUAGGUGGCAAGCAUUGCUCGGAAUCAUUGGGCGUAGAGCGCGUGUAGGCGUUUUUGUAAGUUUUUUAUUAAAUCUUCUUUCUUAAAAAGAAGAGUGUAAGGAAUACUGCAAAAAUUGAGGAAGUCAGAGGCGACUGGAACUUGCGGUGUAGGAGUGAAAUCCAUUGAUAUCGCAAGGAACACCGAUGGCGAAGGCAGGUCGCUGGGGCUUAUCUGACGCUGAGACGCGAAAGCGUGGGUAGCGAACGGGAUUAGAUACCCCGGUAGUCCACGCCGUAAACGAUGCAGACUAGUCAUUGAAGAGAAUCGACCCUCUCAGUGGCGAAGCUAACGCGUUAAGUCUGCCGCCUGGGUAGUACGGCCGCAAGGCUAAAACUCAAAGGAAUUGACGGGGACCCGCACAAGUGGUGGAGCAUGUGGUUUAAUUCGUCAAUAAGCGAGGAACCCUUACCGAGGCUUGACAUCUCUGGAAUUCUCUAGAGAUAGAGAAGUGUCUUCGGAAACCAGAUGACAGGUGCUGCACGGCUGUCGUCAGCUCGUAUCGUGAGAUGUACCGUUAAGUCGGGUAACGAGCGCAACCCUCAUGCUGUGUUAUAUUCUCACAGCAGACUGCCCCGGUUAACGGGGAGGAAGGUGGGGAUGACGUCAAGUCAGCGUGGCUCUUUCGCCUCGGGCGACACACGUGCUACAAUGGUUGCUACAAAGGGUCGCUAAGCUGAAAGGUGGAGCUAAUCCCAUCAAAAGCAAUCAUAGUUCGGAUUGAAGGCUGCAACUCGCCUUCAUGAAGCUGGAAUCACUAGUAACCGCGUAUCUGCCAUGGCGUGGUGAAUGCGUUCCCGGGUCUUGUACACACCGCCCGUCAUACCACGAAAGCUGGUAGUACUCGAAGCCCCGCUUUGCGGGGUCACGGUAAGACCAGUGAUCAGGGUAAAGUCGUAACAAGGUAACC